rnacentral:rRNA from 1 species
CCCUUAGAUGUUCUGGGCCGCACGCGUGCUACACUGAGUGGAUCAGCGGGUCAGGUUGCGCGAAAGCGUUUCCUAAUCUUGAAAUCCGCUCGUGAUGGGGAUUGACGGUUGCAAUUUUCUGUCAUGAACGAGGAAUACCUUGUAAGCGCGAGUCAUCAUCCCGCGCUGAAUACGUCCCUGCCCUUUGUACACACCGCCCGUCGCUCCUACCGAUUGAGUGGUCCGGUGAGGCUUUGGGAUCUGAGCGGAAAGAGCGUUUCGCUCGUUCUGCCCGGAAAACUCAGUCGAACCUUAUCAUUUAGAGGAAGGAGAAGACGUAACA